CCUACGGGAGGCAGCAGUGGGGAAUAUUGGACAAUGGGGGGAACCCUGAUCCAGCGACGCCGCGUGAGUGAAGAAGUAUUUCGGUAUGUAAAGCUCUAUCAGCAGGGAAGAAAGAAAUGACGGUACCUGACUAAGAAGCCCCGGCUAACUACGUGCGAGCAGCCGCGGUAAUACGGAGGGGGCAAGCGUUAUCCGGAUUUACUGGGUGGAAAGGGAGCGUAGACGGCGAUGCAAGUCUGAAGUGAAAGGCGGGGGCCCAACCUCCGGACUGCUUUGGAAACUGUAUGGCUGGAGUGCAGGAGAGGUAAGUGGAAUUCCUAGUGUAGCGGUGAAAUGCGUAGAUAUUAGGAGGAACACCAGUGGCGAAGGCGGCUUACUGGACUGUAACUGACGUUGAGGCUCGAAAGCGUGGGGAGCAAACAGGAUUAGAUACCCUUGUAGUC
rnacentral:rRNA from 1 species